CAGCCGGCAUGUGCGUCUCUCUCUCUCCCAGCCACGCACAGCCGGCGUUUGCGUCUCUCUCUCCCAGCCACGCACAGCCUGCGUGUGCGUCUCUCUCCCAGCCACGCACAGCCGGCGUGUGCGUCUCUCUCCCAGCCACGCACAACCGGCGUGUCUCUCUCUCUCCCAGCCACGCACAGCCGGCAUGUGCGUCUCUCUCUCUCCCAGCCACGCACAGCCGGCAUGUGAG